ensembl:snRNA U2 U2 spliceosomal RNA
AUUGCUUCUUGGCCUUUUGGCUAAGAUCAAGUGUGGUAUCUGUUCUUAUCAGUCUAAAGAUAAUCCCUGAUGCCCUGAACCUCUCCACUGGGCCUACCUCCUAGCUACCAGAAUUAGAUCAAGCCUCUAAUCCAACAGCCAUUAGCAUCAAUCCACUUGUUUAUUUAUUUAUACUUAUUUAUUUAUUUUUCCCCCAAAGAAACCUUU